rnacentral:misc_RNA from 1 species
UCUCUAUCAUCAGACUGUAAUGGCACUUGUUACUCAUAUAGGUGCAAAGUUCUCAUCAAUAGAAACGAAUUAAGUUCAAAAAGCAGGUAAUUGCGAUAAAUUGUUGAAGAGUUCCCUCGACUAUCUUUCUUUUCCAUCAUCAGAUCGACUCCAGACCUUUAUUAAAUAGUAGUGCUUUAUAGUACUUAAUGAAAACAUGAUUAAAUUUACUAGUCACCCUUACGAUUUUUGCAAGUUUCCCUCGAUUUCUCUGGGAUCCCAUCAUCAGAUCCUGGUUUCCUUAUCUUGGUACCAAACUAUGAAUAUCUCCUUUCCAACAAAAAAAGAAUUAUUAAAAUUGAUUCA